rnacentral:lncRNA from 1 species
CACUGUGAAGCCGUGUUCGGACCCCGAAACGUGUAAGGACCCCUCACCCUAUUUCCUAUCACGGUUUUAAAGUUCAAUAAAUGAUAAAACGGUAUUUCAUGAAUCAACGAAUGUGUAAAAUUGCUUAAGGUUGCUAAUGGAGCCCGAGUCUAGUGUGUUUGUCGGUUAACUGUUAUUUGGCCUGUUUUACAGUUUUAAAUGCAGCAUGAGGUUCGAUGUUUU